rnacentral:rRNA from 1 species
GACGAACGCUGGCGGCGUGCCUAAUACAUGCAAGUAGAACGCUGAAGGAGGAGCUUGCUCUUCUGGAUGAGUUGCGAACGGGUGAGUAACGCGUAGGUAACCUGCCUGGUAGCGGGGGAUAACUAUUGGAAACGAUAGCUAAUACCGCAUAAGAGUAGAUGUUGCAUGACAUUUGCUUAAAAGGUGCAAUUGCAUCACUACCAGAUGGACCUGCGUUGUAUUAGCUAGUUGGUGGGGUAACGGCUCACCAAGGCGACGAUACAUAGCCGACCUGAGAGGGUGGUCGGCCCAACUGGGACUGAGACACGGCCCAGACUCCUACGGGAGGGAGCAGUAGGGAAACUUUGGAAAUGGACGGAAGUCUGACCGAGCAACGCCGCGUGAGUGAAGAAGGUUUUCGGAUCGGAAAGCUCUGUUGUAAGAGAAGAACGAGUGUGAGAGUGGAAAGUUCACACUGUGACGGUAGCUUACCAGAAAGGGACGGCUAACUACGUG